rnacentral:rRNA from 1 species
UACGAAGGGUGCAAGCGUUACUCGGAAUUACUGGGCGUAAAGCGUGCGUAGGUGGUUUGUUAAGUCUGAUGUGAAAGCCCCGGGCUCAACCUGGGAAUGGCAUUGGAUACUGGCAGUCUAGAGUGCGGUGGAGGGUAGUGGAAUUCCCGGUGUAGCAGUGAAAUGCGUAGAUAUCGGGAGGAACAUCCGUGGCGAAGGCGACUACCUGGACCAGCACUGACACUGAGGCACGAAAGCGUGGGGAGCAAACAGG